UCACAUGGUCAAUUCUUUCCCUUUGCAGCACCUGCUGUUUCAGAAGCAAAUUUCAGUUCCUGAAAAACAUCGUCAUUCCUUGAGUGGAUGAGGCAGGACAAGGAGCAGACCUUUUCCCCUUCUUGCAAACCAUCACUGAGCUCAGCUGUGAAGAUUCUGCAUUUGUUGGAUGCCUUGGGAAACAUUAGCCUUUGUGCAGAGAACAUUCACCUGAAGGCAAAAGACCAGAGCCAAGAGGGGUAUCUUAAACCCAGCAGCUGCAGUUCUGAAAUCUGAUUCAUCUCUCUUCUGAAGAGGAUAUCAGUGAGGAAUAGCCUGAAAGAAGAGGUGCGGACCAGAAGGAUUGAUCAGGGAUCGUAAUGGACAUCCAAACAUUUCCUUUGCUCCAGACGCCGUGUACCUUGUACCAAGCUGCCUUCCAACCUGCAAUUACCUGUCAUGUCUAGCCCAGCAUUCUCCGGAAAGCAGGCCUCGUGUGAGCUCAGAAGAUGGCAGCAGUUGCCAGAGAUGGAUGUGGGGCUGAGAAGAAGCAAUGUAGCAAAGGAGGCUGGCGUCUUGGACCACAGCGUUACUGAAAUGAAAAGGCGUGAACGCGGCAGGAAUUUCUGCUGUAUGGAAAAAUGUUAUUGUUGGAUUCCUUCAGGAAGGCGUGCAUAUGAAAAUCCUGGUUCCCUGGUGAGUGACUAGUGACUAAGACCUGCAGAACUCUCAUCUUAAUUUUUGAUUGUGGUGGAUGAUGUCAUAGUUGGAAAUAAAUUUACAUUUCAGCUAUGA